rnacentral:rRNA from 1 species
GACGAACGCUGGCGGCGUGCCUAAUACAUGCAAGUAGGACGCACAGUUCAUACCGUAGCUUGCUACACCAUAGACUGUGAGUUGCGAACGGGUGAGUAACGCGUAGGUAACCUGCCUAUUAGAGGGGGAUAACUAUUGGAAACGAUAGCUAAUACCGCAUAACAGUAUGUAACACAUGUUAGAUGCUUGAAAGAUACAAUUGCAUCGCUAGUAGAUGGACCUGCGUUGUAUUAGCUAGUAGGUAGGGUAAUGGCCUACCUAGGCGACGAUACAUAGCCGACCUGAGAGGGUGAUCGGCCACACUGGGACUGAGACACGGCCCAGACUCCUACGGGAGGCAGCAGUAGGGAAUCUUCGGCAAUGGGGGGAACCCUGACCGAGCAACGCCGCGUGAGUGAAGAAGGUUUUCGGAUCGUAAAGCUCUGUUGUUAAGGAAGAACGAGUGUGAGAAUGGAAAGUUCAUACUGUGACG